GAGUUUGAUCCUGGUCAGGACGACGCUGGCGGCGUGCUUAACACAUGCAAGUCGUGCGGAAAGGCCCCUUCGGGGGUACUCGAGCGGCGAACGGGUGAGUAACACGUGAGUAACCUGCCCCUAGCUCUGGGAUAAGCCUGGGAAACUGGGUCUAAUACCGGAUAUGACUUCUGCCCGCAUGGGUCGGGGGUGGAAAGGUCUUUGACCGGCUAGGGAUGGGCUCGCGGCCUAUCAGCUUGUUGGUGGGGUAAUGGCCUACCAAGGCUGUGACGGGUAGCCGGCCUGAGAGGGCGACCGGCCACACUGGGACUGAGACACGGCCCAGACUCCUACGGGAGGCAGCAGUGGGGAAUCUUGCGCAAUGGGCGAAAGCCUGACGCAGCAACGCCGCGUGAGGGAUGACGGCCUUCGGGUUGUAAACCUCUUUCAGCGGGGACGAAGCGAGAGUGACGGUACCCGCAGAAGAAGCGCCGGCCAACUACGUG
rnacentral:rRNA from 1 species